rnacentral:lncRNA from 1 species
AAUUACAUAUGUUGAAUUCAUUAUUAUCAACAUUAAAUUUGUUAAAACAGUACUACAAAAUUUCUCUUAUUUAAGUUUAAAUUUAAAUUUUUAAAUUUAAUUAUUAAAUAUUUAAAUUCAAUAUAUUUAGAAAUAUUACUAUUUCUAAAUUUUCUAAAUUUUAAAUUAAUGCCUUAAUUAGUACAAAACUAAUGCCUAAAUUUAAAAUAUCAACCAUGUAGUGUUCCAGAGGUUUGGAUAGGAUUGGCUACAGUAUUAGUGACUGGUCGACACAUCUGGUGAGUGUCGGACUGAGUCGAAGUCGUUUCGGCACGAAAUGGAUGCAGAAAUGGACUCGAUGCACUCAAAUAAGCAAAACUGGAGUUUUGCGAGAUUCGAGCUCCCAAAACUGGAUUUGGGCCGCCCAGAACUUGAGUGCUGGUUUGAGCUGAACUGGAAGCCAAUUCGGAUCCUGGUUUCGGGCGUCCAGAAGAGGGUUCGAAAGUUUACUUCGUGAAUAUCGUUUGCGCUGACACGUGGCUGGUAGUAGGUGAGGUCCGCCGGACCAGGAUAUGGGCGCAGCACACCGCGGGCGGAGGAACCGAAGAGGAAC